CCCCUUUUUUUCUUUAAUCUCUUCCGUUAUUUACUCUAAAAUGAGAUGAAAUCCCCAACUUUCUAACUUCUUUUCCUAACUCGCCGCAAUUUUGUUUUACAUAAUCAUCCCUAACCUCUUCAAUGUCUUUCGUUUCAUUUCGUUGUACUACUUUAAAUUUAUCCCUCUUAAUCAAUCCCCACUUUCUUAAAUAAAGGAACACCUCUGUUGAAUCUCUCAUGCCACAAAUCACCGCUCGCAUCAUGAUGAAUUUAAGGAUCAACCGCCAGCAGCCACACAAAACAAUUCUUGAUCUUGUCCUUCGUGGUUGUUAGUAGAUUGAUUUACUCUAUUGUCUGGUUAGAUUUAAUCAAAGGAGACGAGAAUAUUAGCCGGAACGGAAGGAAUUUUUUUGUUCCUACAUAUCUUCUUUGUUCUUGUUAGAGAGAUUGAUCAAAUUCAAAAGAGGACAGAGUGUUUUUUAUCUUCUAUAGGAUAGAUCUAGAAUCAAUGAGUUUAAGAUCUUUGUAAAAUUUAUUAUAUUCUUUGAUCUACUGUUUAUUGAUUACGAGAGUAUUUUGAAUUGUAUGAGAAUUCCAUUACGAAUUAGAAAUGUUGAUCUGUUCAUU